GGACUACGGGGGUAUCUAAUCCCGUUCGCUCCCCCAGCUUUCGUCCCUCACUGUCGAAGCCGUUCUGGUAAGAUGCCUUCGCCAUCGGUGGUCCCUCGAGGAUUACAGAAUUUCACUUCUACCCCCGAAGUACCUCUUACCUCUCCCGGUUCCUAGACUCUCAGUAUCUCUUAAACGCCCCACGGUUAAGCCGCGGGAUUUCCCAAGAGACUUAAGAGUCCAGCUACGAACGCUUUAAGCCCAAUAAAAGUGGUCACCACUCGAGCCGCCGGUAUUACCGCGGCGGCUGGCACCGGUCUUGCCCGGCCCUUUCUUCAGAUGCGUUUUAGACACCUGGACAGCCCGCGUAUACGGGCACUCGGGGUUCCCUUAUCACAGUUUCCAGCAUUGUAAAGUUUUCGCGCCUGCUGCACCCCAUAGG
rnacentral:rRNA from 1 species